rnacentral:rRNA from 1 species
CAUGUAUCAGUACACGCCUUCAUAAGGUGAAACCGCGAACGGCUCAUUAUAACAGCUAUAAUUUACUGGACCUUGAGCAGUUACUCGGAUAACUGUGGUAAUUCUAGAGCUAAUACGUGCACCGAAGCUGUUCCUCACGGAGCAGUGCAUUUAUUUGAGCAAAACCAGGCGGCUUCGGCCGUUUCUGCUGACUCAGAAUAACUAAGCUGAUCGCAUGGGCUUGUCCCGGCGACGUGUCUUUCAAGUGUCUGCCUUAUCAACUUUCGAUGGUAGUGUACGUGACUACCAUGGUGUUGACGGGUAACGGGGGAUCAGGGUUCGACUCCGGAGAAGGGGCCUGAGAAAUGGCCACUACGUCUAAGGAUGGCAGCAGGCGCGCAAAUUACCCACUCUCGGCGCGAGGAGGUAGUGACGAAAAAUAACAAGGCCGUUCUCUUUGAGGCCGGCCAUUGGAAUGAGUACAACUCAAACCCUUUAACGAGUAUCAAUGAGAGGGCAAGUCUGGUGCCAGCAGCCGCGGUAAUUCCAGCUCUCAAAAUGCAUAGAACCAUUGCUGCGGUUAAAAAGCUCGUAGUUGGAUCUGUGCCGGCGACGUGGUCCGCCUUCGCGGGCGGUACUGCGCUCGUCGGCUUUGGGCCGGUCUUCGGACGGUGGCCUUCACUGGCUGCCGCUCGUGGCUGGCUGGUUUACUUUGAGCAAAUCAGAGUGCUCAGCACAGGCGUCUCGCCGGAAUGUUCGUGCAUGGAAUAAUAGAAAAGGAUUUCGGUCCUCUUUUAUUGGUUUUGUGGACUGAGAUAAUGGUUAACAGAGACGGACGGGGGCAUUCGUAUUGCUGCGUGAGAGGUGAAAUUCUUGGACCGCAGCAGGACGGACUACAGCGAAAGCA